AAAGAGGGGGACCUUCGGGCCUCUUGCCAUCGGAUGUGCCCAGAUGGGAUUAGCUAGUAGGUGGGGUAACGGCUCACCUAGGCGACGAUCCCUAGCUGGUCUGAGAGGAUGACCAGCCACACUGGAACUGAGACACGGUCCAGACUCCUACGGGAGGCAGCAGUGGGGAAUAUUGCACAAUGGGCGCAAGCCUGAUGCAGCCAUGCCGCGUGUAUGAAGAAGGCCUUCGGGUUGUAAAGUACUUUCAGCGGGGAGGAAGGGAGUAAAGUUAAUACCUUUGCUCAUUGACGUUACCCGCAGAAGAAGCACCGGCUAACUCCGUGCCAGCAGCCGCGGUAAUACGGAGGGUGCAAGCGUUAAUCGGAAUUACUGGGCGUAAAGCGCACGCAGGCGGUUUGUUAAGUCAGAUGUGAAAUCCCCGGGCUCAACCUGGGAACUGCAUCUGAUACUGGCAAGCUUGAGUCUCGUAGAGGGGGGUAGAAUUCCAGGUGUAGCGGUGAAAUGCGUAGAGAUCUGGAGGAAUA
rnacentral:rRNA from 1 species